UGGGGAAUAUUGGACAAUGGGCGCAAGCCUGAUCCAGCCAUGCCGCGUGAGUGAUGAAGGCCCUAGGUUUGUAAAGCUCUUUCACCGGUGAAGAUAAUGACGGUAACCGGAGAAGAAGCCCCGGCGAACUUCGUGCCAGCAGCCGCGGUAAUACGAAGGGGGCUAGCGUUGUUCGGAUUUACUGGGCGUAAAGCGCACGUAGGCGGACUUUUAAGUCAGGGGUGAAAUCCCGGGGCUCAACCCCGGAACUGCCUUUGAUACUGGAAGUCUUGAGUAUGGUAGAGGUGAGUGGAAUUCCGAGUGUAGAGGUGAAAUUCGUAGAUAUUCGGAGGAACACCAGUGGCGAAGGCGGCUCACUGGACCAUUACUGACGCUGAGGUGCGAAAGCGUGGGGAGCAAACAGG
rnacentral:rRNA from 1 species